AUAUUCUCUCGUGCUUUCAAUGAACUCGCUGAAUCAAAUCCAACAAUCCAUGUCGAUAAGUUCUUCAACCUCAUCCCAGUGUUAGGUGCUGGACGGACACCAACAUCCAUGGAUGAUAUAUUGACGUGUGAAUUAUUUGCUCAAAAAUCCUGAGACCAAGUUGCUCAAACUGCUGCUAUUCUAUUCUCUAGCCUUCAACUUACGUAUCUCCUUUCCAAGUUUUACACACUGAAGUGAAGAAAGAAAUUUGCAGAUUCUUGGUUAUGGAGGUAUGUCCACUCCCUUGCAAGGCAAACUUCCUAUCUAUGUAGUUUUCGGGAAAAUUUUCG
rnacentral:misc_RNA from 1 species